ensembl:lncRNA
CUUGUUAACUAACUCUUAAGAUACUAUGCUAAAAUUGGCCUGUUGCAGAUAGCCUGUAGCCCUACAGACUGCUUUGCGAAAAAGAAGCUUCCGUUAUGCUUUGUGACAAAUCUUGUAGUUUGUGUGUUACAUGUGCUCUGCAGAGAACCUGUUGUAUCAGCCAGGAUAAUCCAGUUUCCAGAUUUCAUUUUGGAGAAUGUAGACCUUUUUUAAAUUCUUCAGGCUAGUUUCGUUCUGGCUAUGCAACAGGGAGGCUGAGCUGAGUCCUACUCUGGAGAAGAGAGAAACCCCAUUUAGCACGGAGAAACUCCUCAUGUAGCCAGUCAGGAAUCUCAGCUGAAAAUUGGCUGUGCAAAAGUUAUCUCUGUGCCCCUGUCAACCUGUUUGAGUGGGGUAGUACUGAAAGUGCUCAAAGAGCAUAUACCGUUUUUGGAAAAGUGUCAAGUUCUGCUUGGAGACAUUGCUCUUAAUUGUCACUUCUCACUUCAGGCCAAUACUUUGCUAUGAUGCAAACUUUAAAACUGUCCCUCUCCUCAUUCUUCAGGAUAUGUAAGGAUUUUUAUUACGUCAGAAACUCUCUUUAGAGGAGUUUAAGUUAACUGUCUUAGGACUGUAGUUAACACGCCUUUUCUUAAAUAGCAUGCCAAACUGCUAAGGGUUGAUAAAGCAGAAGCUGUAAGCUAGAGCACUGUCACAAAGAAUGCUGAACAUUUUCGUGGAAAAAAAUAUGAUAUUUUUUAGUUGGUUUGCUUUUUUGUUGUUAUUUUUAAGAGUCUGUGACAGCAAAGUUUUUCUCUGUUCAUCUUGCCAAAAUAAAACUUAACUUACAAAUGCACUCUAAAUACUUCAGUUUCUUCCAGUAUAAUAGCUGAAACAUAUUUUCAGGGAAGUUAUGUCAGUUUGGCUAGUUUACCUCUGGUUUUUAAAGAGAGGAGAAGAUUGUUCUAUUAUAGUAGAUCUAAAGAGAUAAAUCUGUUACAAUUUCCAAAUUAAGAGCAAGUGUAAAAAUUUUAGGAGAAGGAAUAACUUAUUUUCUGCAAAUGAGUCUUUCAAUUAAUAGUAGCAAUAAGAGCUGUUCACUAACACAAUUAAAAUUAGAUGGCUAAUAUAGAGAGAUUUGUCUGGCAUCUUGUUAUUUAAACAAAACCAACAAGCAAGAAUUUUACUAGAUUGAUAUCUUCUUCCCCUUGUUCAACACUAAAUGUAAAUAGGAUCUCUGAGACCUAGUGUCUUUGACAUUCCUUUGUGCAGUCAAAUGAAGACACUUUGUAAGUAAAAUAUUAUCUUUCUUGUCCACUGAAGAAAUAUUCUAGACUUUAGCUUCCUGUCAGGCAUAAAUCAAGCCUCAGAGUACUUUAUAUCCUCUGAAUAUCCCGAGGAAAGAGAAAUUCAUCAAGAAUAAUACCAUUAGUGAAGGCUUGGAGAACAGCCAUCUUAUUCUCUUUCUUCUAUUCUAUUCUUUUCUAUCCUAUUCUUUCUUCUAUUCCACUUUCUCUAAACUACAAGUAUGCAAUACAUUUCAAUGGACUCGUAACUGCACGGCAAAAGAUAGCAAAAUGAUUCCUAAUGAAGAUUCUUAAAUGAAGAUCCUAAAAAUUCUUCUUAAGUUUUGAAAAAUAUUCCAACCCAAGUUUUUAAUACCCAGAUGCAUAAUAUUUUUCUUUUCCUACUGAUUCUGACAAAUAUCUGGUUACUAAUUUCAAGUGUUUGUUCAUAUACUCAUUAGGAGAGAGAGCUCCUGCUAAAGGCAUUGAUGAUUUUUUUCUCUCUCUCACAAAAUAUAAACAUAUAUGAUAAGAUUUGGUUUGCUUUUAGUACUGCAUGAGAAAUACCUGUAGAAUCUAUAGCUAAAAUUACUUUAAGGAACUGUUGAAUAGAUACAUGAUAGUUAAUGCAUUUACACCUGUUCGUAUUUUCUGUUUCAACAUUAAGAGCUAUAGUCUGUUGGGUGUCAGGCUGCAACUUGCAGGUGUUUUGGAUCAUGUUUUAAAAAUAAUUUUACCUGAAAUUCUGUCUUCAACCAGCUUAAACUCAUAUUUGUACUCACAUUCAUCUGUGUGUUUGUGAGAUUUUGCUUACUGAAUAAAAAAUAAUGUAC